rnacentral:lncRNA from 1 species
AUUGGUAAUUAGAAAAGAAAAGAAAUUGCAACAGAUUUUAAUUGAACAUGCUUCAGUUUUACUACAUGAACAUUUUUUUCAUUCUCUUUAAUAGGAUCAAAUUCUUUCUACAAUGUAUCACAUGAGCAUAAAUAAAAACAACCGGUCAAAAUGUCAUAAAUUGUUUCUCUAGUCCCCCAACAACACAGCAUGCUUCAAUUUUACCAUACAUUGGCACUAACCAUCCUUGACCUUGACCAUGACCUUUGAAACAUUCCGGGAAUUGAACCACUCAAAGAGUCCCUCAAACAAAUGCAUGUGACUCAGAUUACAAUGUGCACUGAACACUUGUAUUUUAUUGCUAAAAUCAAACAAAAUUUAUGACCUUGAGAAUAGGAAGGAGAAAAAGUCAAGGGAGGCAUUGAAACUUGGCAUCUAAACCAUUAGUUCAACUCCAAAAUGAUUGACUUUAUUUCAAUUCAAAAGGAAUCAAACAAAAGCAAGGGAGAUACCAAACUAAAUUUUAGUGGGAAAAGAUAGCAAAAAAACUACGCAAUUCACUAUCACAGCUUAAAACCACACUAAUAAAACCAUCUCUACAUAAUAAAAUAAUUUGCAACAAUUCACUAUCACAGUUUAAAACCACGCUAAUAAAAUCAUCUCUACAUAAUGCAGUGAUGAUAAUAAUCAAAAUAAUAAUAGUAAUAAGUGGAGGAGGAGAAGGAAGAGAAACAAUCAUCUCUACAUAAUGCAGUUGAAUAAUAUUCAUAACAAUUAUCAUUCAUCAUUAGGCAUUGAACAAAUAAGUUAACUAGCAGUUUACACUUCCAUGUUGGAUCUGAACUUUAUUUGUCAAACAUUAAGCCGAAAUAUGGCAUAGAACAGCAAACAAAAUAUGGCAUGGGAGGAAUGUAAAGUCCAUCAUUGGGCCGAAAAGAUAAUUAUAAUGCAUGAAAGAGUGGAAAGGGUAAAAUUUUGAAGUGAAUAUGGCAUGGCAGUAAAAUGCUAACAAUCAUUUUGAGAUACAAGUUUCAGAUCUUGAAAAAUGAACAUGAAAGCAAGGAAACAAUGAGUAGUAAGACAAAUCGAUUCAUGGCCUUGUAGGAGACAGGAUGAGAAAUGUUUGGUCCUUUAGAAAAGUUAUGGAAGCACUAAAUGAUACACACUGGAAUGCAUAAUGAGUAAAAAUAACAGCAUGCAAAAGAAUUUACAAAUCACCACAGAUCUCUUAGCUAAGAAUCAAUAAUACACAGAUUAGAGCCAAUGGCUUCCAUCAAAAGAAUUUACAAACCACCACAUUACAAACAAAAGCAUUAGCAAGAGAUUACAAUGUGCAAUUCACACUAUUGAAUUUCUUAGUGGAAUUAAGGCUAGGUUGUUGUUAUUUGUAUAGUUCAGUUAAUGGAUGUGUAUCCACAAAGUCACAUCUCACAAAUAAAAUCAUACCAUGCUAUCCCUUUACUACUUCAAUAGAAUGGUACAAAAUAAAUACAGCAUAUGGUUCUGCAUAGAACAAGCUGAAACAAAAUAAGCUUACCAAGAACAUUUUAUGGUCUUAAAUUACAAAAACAUAACCCCCCACCAUAGAUCUGUAAUAGGAAUGUUUAAAGGAUUCGUUCAGGUAACAGUUACUCUCUAAAGUGGAAGGAGACAGGUGAAGAGAGAUAUGCUGCCAUUCCGAGAGGUUGCAAAACUUCUCAAUGACUUAAAUAUCCAGCAUCCAUCAAUGGGUUAUAUUUGACAGAUGAUACACAAGAAAACCAAGAAUGCAUAACAAGUAAAAAUAAUAUCACCAAUAACAUGCUGCCAAAAUUAUUCAAACUAAAUAUACUAAUUAUGCCCUCAGAUUCCAGCAGAGUAGUACUUUAUCAUCAUAUCCAUAAAAAGCCUCUCAACAUCAAUCAAGGCAGUGUUCCCACAACCUCCGCCAUCUCUUCCCACUGCCAGUAACAAAUAAUAAUAAUCAUAAUAAUAAUAAUAAUAACAAGAGGAGGAGGUGGUGAUGAUGGAGGAGGAGAAUGAGAAGGAAGAGGAACAACAGCAGCAACCGAGUGUUGUAAUGGCAGUAGGAAGAAAGGCAGAAGUGACGGAGAAGCUUUGAAUUUAUUAGAAAGAUAUAGCAUUGCUAUAUUCAGAGUACCAUCUUACAAUUAAUAUUCAUCAUUGGGCAUAUUCAUUACCAUUAUCCAGAAGAAAUUAUGAUAGUUAAUUCACCCAGAGGAAAUUGAACAAGUUAACUGCCACAGUACAAUGACAAAGUAAACCUACUCAAAAUGAAAUGCAAAAGGUGAAAACUGGUAACUACAUCUUAAACAAGCAUUGAAAACCCUGAUAAUGGAAAGAAGGUAGAUAUUGACAUGAAAAAAGUAAACUGGAAAAGUUAAGUAAUUUAUAUAACACAAGUGCAAAAGCACAACCAUAAUUAAAAUGACGCCUUAUUUAAACUGAUGAAAACUGAAUUUACCGCGAAAAUAUAACAAGGAAGUCAAUGAUAAUCAAAGUUUGACAUAAUCAACCAUAAAGCAAACAUCAAUGACUUAAAUAUUACAUAUACCAGCCAAUAUUUGAGCAGUAUGGGGGAGAGUGAUGCACAGCAACAAUACUUUGAAGUUGGUUCCGAACCUAAAUUAGAAGAACUCCAUUUGCAAGUGAAAAUUGUUGAAUUAAUAGCCAAUUGAUACAAGUCAGACCUGCAAAACAGAAGAGAGGAAGAACUAGAGAGAAGAAUACAAAGACAGGAUAAGAAUUUUAUAUGAGAAAGUGACAGCUAUGUGAGUGUGACAGAGAUGAUGGAUGGAAAAUAAGGGAAUAAGAAAUAUAAACCAUUACUUAAGAGCUUGUGAAAAACUCCGACUUUGAGAUAAACACAGUACUGGAGACAUCAGAUUUUACUCAUAAACACUUGGAGGAUACCAAUGCAAUCAUAUAAGAAACAUCACAAAAGCACAAGCGAUUUCAAGAGACCAGAUUAACAUGAUAUAGAUAUGCAAUACGAAUUUCCUAAUGCUAUGUGUAUUAUCACAGACCACUUUUGCAGUCACCACCCUGUAGCCAACAAUAUUAGCAAUUAAAUACAAGAAACUAUCCACACACACAAAGAAAGAGAAGCCACUUGUCAUGACUGAUGAUGCUAAGCUUAGUAAAUACUAAUAGAAAUCUUCAUAAUAAUGAAUCAAGUUUCCUUCAUGGUGGAUUUUGAAGUCAAGGAAAUAGAAAGGCUCUUUGACCAAAUAAAAAUUGAUUUUUGGCCAUACAAAAGUACUGGUUAGGGGAAGGGAAGGAAUGUGAAGCCCUCAUACCUCAUAGCUAUAGAGAUCAUGUAGGGCAUUUGCAACAAGUUUCAAUCCAAUCCUUCAUACAUCAUCAAUAAAUAAACAAAUAUAAUAAACAAAAAGAGACAGAGAUAGUGUUUAUCCAGUAAUGAACAAAAAUAGUGCAGCCACUCAUGAGUUAAUUUGUCCAUCAUUGGGCUCGAAACACAAAUUUCAAUGCAUACAGGAAUGAAAAUGUUAAAAUUUGCAGUGAACAAGAUAGUGAAAUUAAUACAAGGAAACAACCAAACAGCGCAACAUCCGAAACGUUACUGGAAAUAAUAGUCUUUUUUAUCAAAAAAUAAUGAAAAUUGACAAGAAAAAUAACACAACAUACAACACAGGCAACAUCAACAGCACCAACUAAGGAAGUAAUAGCAGCCGCAGCGAAGGUAGUUAGCAAAAGGCCAAUAAGUAACUAAAACCUAAAAAAACAUAAUACACUUUUUCAAUUUUGCAUCAUUGAGCAUCAAUUUAGAAUGCAAAAACAAUUAAAAUUGUACAUAAAAAGUUAAUAUAACCACAGAAAAAUACAAGUGAUAAUCCAAAAAGGGGGAAUUAGUAGCCCUCAGAUCUCAUAGUUAAAUACAAAUGAUCUACACCUUUUGCCAAUAGUUUCAUUCACAGCCUUCUUGCACCAUAACGUUCAUGUAUGUAUGUAUAUAUAUAUAUGUGCAUGUAUGUGUGUAAGCAAAGAUUCACGUACGCGAAGAAAGAGAGAGAAAGAGAAAAAGAGAAUGGUGCAGAUCCAGUUAUGAACAAAACCUUGUAAAAGUUCAAUAAUCGAUUUUUUCAUCACUGGGCAGCAUAUUACACAAAUUCAUAGUUUCAGUUUUAAAUAUAUUACAUCAACAUAUCUAAGCAUAUUUGAAAUUCGGGAUUGUACAGUACAUGCAUUAUCAUCGUAAACAAAAAAAUUCGAAGUUUCACUCAGAAAACCAUAACCUAACGAACAACAAAACUGAGUUAAAAUUUGAAAAUAAACGGUAAGUUAAGGGGAAACACAGAAAAUGCAUUCAGAUUUCAUAGAUUAGAAGCAAUCAUAGAGAGAUUAAAAGCAAUGGCGUUCAUAAAAGAAAAAUAUGAGUGGAAUCAGAAAACGAAAAUAAAGGUGAAAAAGUGAAAACAAAAGAGUAAGAAGGAGAAAAAGUAAGAAAGACAAGAUUAGUGUUGUUUUUAUGGUAGUCCCUCAUCCUGGGCCGGGCUUAGAAAUAAACCAGGUCUAGGCCCAAAAGCUCGACUCCGUUCUACGACCAAAGAGGAAUAAAUAUAUGGAUUUUUUCCUCUUCG